rnacentral:lncRNA from 1 species
CUUAGUUCAACACGAUUACGAAAUACCUUCGAGCACAUCCUCCGCUCAAAUAGUUUCCUCGUUCUUUUUUUUUUUUUAUUAUUAUUUUAUUUUAUUUUUUUUAUUUCGGAAGGCUUCUGUUUCAGAGGAAAGCUCAGCCACCUUCGCCGCCUGGGAGCGGAGGCUCACGCCGCCAGAAAUUCCUGUGGAGCAACUCGCGGCGUCGGGAGCGCGGCGCGCACCGGGGCGGCACCGGCCGGGCGCACUGCGGCGAGUUGCUGCGGCAACACGGGGGUGCCACGUCCCGGCUCUGCCUCUCCGAUCAGUAAGGGCAUCCCAGCGCUGUUACACUCCGCCACAGCGAGCUUCACGCACCGUCCGGUAAAACUCGCAGGCAGCUUAACGAGAAGCCCGUGCCUAACUUCACAGAAAGUACUCGGAGUAAAUAAACACACCGCAAAGCGCCCUACCUCGGCUGGCAUUUACUUACGGACCGUUAAAACGGUUAAGCCGAGAAGCACGCAGGCGGGGAAACGCACGCUACCUGCCGACCUGCCCCCCCAGGCUCCAGCUCCCGCAUCCGCCCCGGCACCCUCCGGCGGCACCCCCGUUACCGCGGCACCGCCGGCCCACCCCGGGGAGCCUCCCGAGCAGGCCGGGUCGCUCAGCGAGAGCAGGCCGGGUCGAGCCGAGCCGAGCCGAGCGCUCCCCGCCUUGCGCCCCUCGGCGGCUGGCUUACCUCCUGGCGACGAGCAGCCGCGGAGGGGAAGGAGGAGAGGGCCUGCUGGCCGCUUGGGCUCCCUCCUCUCCCCCUGCUCGCUCGUUUUCUCCUUCCUUCCUGCCUGCCUCCACACCCCACCCCACCCCCGCGCUGCUCCCCGGCGAGCCGCGCCCGCGGCGCUCCGCUCCCUUCCCUCCCCUUCCCUCCCUCCGGAGGCGGCCGCACCUGGGCUGGCGGGGCGGCGUGCUGCCUCAGGAGCCCGGCCGGGGGCUCGGGGUGGGCUGCCUGCCCCACAGCACGGCCCCGGAGCACGACCCCGGGGUCCUCCUUUCCUCCCCCGGGGCGUAGGGCGAGAUGGCCGCGGGGCUCCCCCCGGGCUCCCCGCUGCCCCCCAGCGGAGCCCCGCGAAGGGCGCAGCGCCCUCCCGCCUCGCUUGGCUGGAUGAAAUUAGGAAGCUUUAA